AUGUAUUCAGUACGUUUAAGAUAAGAAGGCAAUAAAAAAAGCGUUUAAAACAUCCACAAUGGUGGGCUUUUUUGUUGUGCUUAUUUUACGUAUUAGGACAUAGAUAGAGGGAGUGUAGUUAUAUUAUGCUAUGCGUUUUUCUUUGUGUCUUUUUAACGUUGAUAUGCAGACUAAAGAUUCCAUUGGGGAUUUUAGCCUGCAUUUUUUAU
rnacentral:ncRNA from 1 species